AAACAGUUACAGCAUACUGGACACAUACUAGAAACAGGUACAGCAUACUGGACACAUACUAGAAAACAGGACAGCAUACUGGAAACAGGUACAGCAUUACUGCGACACAUACUAGAAACAGGUACAGCAUACUGGAAACAGGUACAGCAUACUGGACACAUACUAGAAACAGGUACAGCAUACUGGAAACAGGUACAGUAUACUGGACACAUACUAGAAACAGGUACAGCAUACUGGACACAUACUAGAAACAGGUACAGCAUACUGGACCUACUGGAAACAGGUACAGCAUACUGGACCACUUCUUCUACUACAGCAUAUUGGACACUCUCCUGCUGCUCUGUCUCACCAUGUUAACCCAUCUUCAUCAUCACGUGGUGUCAGUCAGUCAAGUUUUGGGGAAUUUUGGGGUUCGAUUAUUUUCAUAACUGGAAAAACAUAUUCUGAUCGAAGAUGCAUGUGGAUUUUUCUUUUGAAGGCAACUUUGGGGGGGUUCUCACCAGCCGGGCCUCAUAAGCUUGAAUGCACAUUAUCAUGGAAAAGACAAUAUGGAUGUUUGUUUUAUACUCUGUUCUUCCUAUUCAACUUGAUUCCAGGAUGCACAGAGCUAUAGAGCUAUAUACUUGAGAAAGUCAUUGUGAGCGUGCAUUGUCAUCCCUAAAGAGGAACACUCUUUGCACUUUAAAGCCUUCAUAAAGACCCUGUUCAUGAUCUCCAGCUGAAGAUUACAAUGAGUGUGUCCCAUUGAGCCUAGAAUGAUUGUGUCAUGAUAAUCCUCUUCUUAAUGUUACUCUCUCUCUCUGCCUGGCGUGAUGACAAGGGCACAAAAUACACAUUUUCUUUUCGGACCACUCAUUUUCUGUAUUGUACUUAGUAAUAAAAUAUUCCUUAACACUUAA